GGAGGAUCCAAGCGUUAUCCGGAAUCAUUGGGUUUAAAGGGUCCGUAGGCGGUUUGGUAAGUCAGUGGUGAAAGCCCAUCGCUCAACGGUGGAACGGCCAUUGAUACUGCCAGACUUGAAUUAUUAGGAAGUAACUAGAAUAUGUAGUGUAGCGGUGAAAUGCUUAGAGAUUACAUGGAAUACCAAUUGCGAAGGCAGGUUACUACUAAUUGAUUGACGCUGAUGGACGAAAGCGUGGGUAGCGAACAGGAUUAGAUACCCUGGUAGUCCACGCCGUAAACGAUGGAUACUAGCUGUUGGGAGCAAUCUCAGUGGCUAAGCGAAAGUGAUAAGUAUCCCACCUGGGGAGUACGUUC
rnacentral:rRNA from 1 species